CUGGUUUAUUUUAUUUUAUUUUAUUAUUUUAUUAUUUUUUUUGUCUUUUGUCUUUUUAGGGCUGUACCCGUGGCAUAUGGAGAUUCCCAAGCUUGGCAUCUAAUCAAAGCUGCAGCUGCCAGCCUAUGCCACAACCACAGCAACGCCACAUCUAAGCCCCAUGUACAACCCACAACACAGAUGGUGGCACUGCCAGAUCCUUAACCCACUGAGCGAGGCCAGGGAUCAAACCCACAACCUCAUUGGGGCUGGUUUAUUUUACAUCCUCCACCCCUCCCCCCCACCCCAGUCCCUCAGUGGGCCUGUACUGGGUGAAGAGAGGCAAACAGGAGAGGGACAGCCACUGCCGUGGCUGGUCACAUGAUUUUAUGAGGCUUGUGAUCCCCUGGAAUAGACUCUAUGUACUGUUCUUAGCUCUGAUUCCUUUCACUUCCUUCCCUUGUUUUUUAUCUCUGCCUCAACUUUCUCAACUAUGUUUUUCCUCUUCCUGUUGAAGUUGAUAUAUCUCUGUGAGCUACCACAAAUCCCUCUUUUUUUGGAAUAAUGCACGGGAUAAAUAAAUAAUCUUUUAAAAAAAUAACACAAUCUCAUUUGAUGCUCAAAACAGUCCUUGAUGUUCUUUGGAGAACAUGUGGUUCGGGCAAAAUCAAAGAGCUUCUAAGUAUCUUCCAACUCCAAGUCCAAUGCACUUUCCACCAGGGAUGACUUGGUGAGCCCUUCCUGUGUGUUGGUGACACUAGGCGAGGCACUGGGGACAGAGGGUUGACUUAGUGCCGAGCACAUUUUCUCAGUCCUGUGAGGAAGGUGUUGCACCAGUGCUCAUCCAAAGGUGAGGAAUGCGAGGUUCAUGAAGCCUCCUGACUUGAGGAGGUCAUGCAACAGAGCAAGUAGCAGAAUCCCUGGGGGCUCGUUGGAUCCCUGGCCUCGCUCUGUGGGUUAAGGAUCUGGCGUUGUUGUGAGCUGUGGUGUAGGUCGAAGAUGCGGCUAGGAUCUGGUGAGAUGCGGCUAGGAUCUGGUGUGGCUGUGGCUGUGGCUGUGGUGUAAGCCGGCUCUGAUUUGACCCCUAGCCUGGGAACUUCUAUUAGCCACAGGUGCAGUCCUAAAAAAAUAAAGGGGAGAAGACAUGAAAUACUGGAAGAGUGUUGAGUUUUUAGGUGGGUGUAGAGAGAAGGCCUCGUUAAUGAUGUGGUAUAUUUGAAUAAGGGAAGUGAAGGAGACGAGGAAAGAGAGGGAAGCUUCUAAAACAUCUCCAAAUCAGUGGGUCCAAAACCCAACCUGUGAUUUCCUCCUGAAAACAUAAUCCUUUUCCAGUAAUCUCAGUCUCAAGAAAUGACCCCUUCAUGUAUUGAGUUAGUCGCACCCUUGUCACCACGUCAGAUCUGUCACCAAGUUCUUUUGCUUCUGUCUCCUAAAUGCUUCUCCUGCGGCAAUGUGCAGUUCCACCAUCUCGGUGACUGCCACUGUGGUCCACGCCCCAUCGUCUUUUCACCUGGACUGAGGCCAUGGCCUUCUAACUGGUCUCCCUGCUUCCACUCUGGCCCCCAUCUAAUUUGUCCUCCCCAUAGUACCCAGAGCUACCUUUUCUGAACUCAAGUGUGAUAAUGUCAUCACUUGGCUUAAAGCUUACCAUGGCAUCACAUAGCGCUUAAGCUCUUACUGGUAGGAUAGAGGCCAAAUUCAUGACCUGUGUGGUCUGACACCAACCUCCUUCUCUUAGCUUUUUUUCGUACCAGUAUUGCCCCCGCUACCUGCCACCCCCCCAACACCACAGAAAAACACAAACAUCAGCCAUUCUAGCUUUAUUUCAGAAUCUUAAGCAAGUCAUGUUCUUGCCAUGAUAAGACCUUUUUACACACUGUUCCCCUUUCCUAGAAUGUCCUUCUUUACCCGUUCAAGCCAAUCUCUCUCAUUUAGUUGCCACCUCCUUCAGAGCCCAGCCUUCUCUGAUCUUCUUGAUCAGGUCACAUUCUCCUGUGACAGGCUGUCAUGACAUCACAGAUUUCCCCUUUUCAGCACUUUCACACGUGUAAUCUUAAACUGAUUUGUCUGCCUGUUUGAUUGCUGUCUACCUAUCCCACUGAAUUGUAACUCCAUGAGGACCGAGAUUCAUUUGCUCAUCAUUGGCUCCACAGUGCCUAUUGCAGUGCUUGACACUUAAGCAGGUGCUCAACAAAUGUUUGUUGUGAAUGAAAGAAUAAAUGAAUGAGAGUUCCUGUUGUGGCUCAGCGGGUUACAAACCCAACUAGUAUCCAUGAGGAUGUAGAUUCGAUCCCUGGCCUUGCUCAGUGGGCUAAGGAUCCAGCAUUGCCGUGAGCUUUGGUAUAAGUUGCAGAUGUGGCUUGGAUCCCACAUUGCUGUGGCUGUAACGUAGACCAGCAGCUUGAGCUCUAAUUCACCCUGUAGCCUGGGAACUUCUGUAUGCUGCAGCUGUGGCCCUAAAAAAAAAAAAAAUUUCAAACCGUAAAGAUCUUUAUACAGUAAAAAGUAUAAUUCCCCUGGCCUUGGCCCUCCUGAGAAGUAUCACUGUUAACAUUUUGGUAUCUAUAUUUCCAAGCCUCAUUCUCUGCUUGUACUAUAUCCAUAUCGAAUAUCUGUGUGUCUGUGUUAUACACACAGACACACGGAUAAACAUAGUUUCAUUGGGCUUUGUUUUUUACAUUGAUGGCUCAUACUAGGCGCAUCCUUCUGAGAUUUGUUUUAUUAACUUAGCAUUUUGCUGUAUAGAUCUUUCCAUGUCAGUACAUCAGCCUGGCACACUCCUUUGCAUACAUGAAGAGAUGGUAAUAUGCUAAAUAAGUGAUGCAUAAAAUGCACAAGUGCCAUUAAGUAAUUACUGUGUUAUCAAAAGAGAGUCAGGAUGGAGUUGCCAUUGUGGCUCAGCAGGUUAAGAAUCUGACUAGUAUCCAUGAGGAUGUGGGUUUGAUCCCUGACCUCACUCAGUGGGUUAAGGAUCCAGCGGUUACCAUGAGCUGCAGUAUAGGCCAGCAGCUACAGCUCCAAUUUGACCCCUAGCCUGUGGGUGCGGCCCUAAU
rnacentral:lncRNA from 1 species